rnacentral:rRNA from 1 species
GACGAACGCUGGCGGCGUGCCUAAUACAUGCAAGUCGAACGCAUUUUCUUUCACCGUAGCUUGCUACACCGAAAGAAAAUGAGUGGCGAACGGGUGAGUAACACGUGGGUAACCUGCCCAUCAGCGGGGGAUAACACUUGGAAACAGGUGCUAAUACCGCAUAAUUCCAUUUACCGCAUGGUAAAUGGAUGAAAGGCGCUUUUGCGUCACUGAUGGAUGGACCCGCGGUGCAUUAGCUAGUUGGUGGGGUAACGGCCUACCAAGGCUGCGAUGCAUAGCCGACCUGAGAGGGUGAGCGGCCACACUGGGACUGAGACACGGCCCAGACGCCUACGGGAGGCAGCAGUAGGGAAGCUUCGGCAAUGGACGCAAGUCUGACCGAGCAACGCCGCGUGAGUGAAGAAGGUUUUCGGAUCGUAAAACUCUGUUGUUAGAGAAGAACAAGGAUGAGAGUGGAAAGUUCAUCCCUUGACGGUAUCUAACCAGAAAGCCACGGCUAACUACGUG